rnacentral:rRNA from 1 species
GAUGAACGCUGACAGAAUGCUUAACACAUGCAAGUCAACUUGAACUUCGGUUUGGGUGGCGGACGGGUGAGUAACGCGUAAAGAACUUGCCUCACAGUUAGGGACAACAUUUGGAAACGAAUGCUAAUACCUGAUAUUAUGAUUUUAGGGCAUCCUAGAAUUAUGAAAGCUAUAUGCGCUGUGAGAGAGCUUUGCGUCCCAUUAGCUAGUUGGAGAGGUAACGGCUCACCAAGGCGAUGAUGGGUAGCCGGCCUGAGAGGGUGAUCGGCCACAAGGGGACUGAGACACGGCCCUUACUCCUACGGGAGGCAGCAGUGGGGAAUAUUGGACAAUGGUCGGAAGACUGAUCCAGCCAUGCCGCGUGCAGGAUGAAGGUCCUAUGGAUUGUAAACUGCCUUUGUAAGGGAAGAAUAAGGAGUACGUGUACUUUGAUGACGGUACCUUACGAAUAAGCAUCGGCUAACUCCGUGCCAGCAGCCGCGGUAAUACGGAGGAUGCGAGCGUUAUCCGGAAUCAUUGGGUUUAAAGGGUCCGUAGGCGGGCUGAUAAGUCAGAGGUGAAAGCGCUUAGCUCAACUAAGCAACUGCCUUUGAAACUGUCAGUCUUGAAUGAUUGUGAAGUAGUUGGGAAUGUGUAGUGUAGCGUUGAAAUGCUUAGAUAUCACACAGAACACCGAUAGCGAAGUCAUUUUUACUAACAAUUUAUGACGCUGAUGGACGAAAGCGUGGGGGAGCGAACAGGGAUGAGAUACUCUUGUUAGUCUAUGGCUAAUUCCGCAUUGGCUGCAGCCCGGGGAUCCACUAGUCUGGAGCGGCGGACGGGGGUGAUCCAUUUCGCCCUAUUAUUGAAAAAAAAAAGAAAAUA